rnacentral:rRNA from 1 species
UGCGUAGGUGGUGAGGUAAGUCGGAUGCGAAAGCUCGGAGCUCAACUCCGAAAUGGCAUUGGAAACUACCUUGCUCGAGGGUUGGAGGGGGGACUGGAAUGCUUGGUGUAGCAGUGAAAUGCGUAGAUAUCAAGCGGAACACCAGUGGCGAAGGCGAGUCCCUGGACAACUCCUGACACUGAGGCACGAAAGCUAGGGAGCAAACA